CCCCAACUGACAGUCUGGAGUUGAGAAGUGAAGCCUGAAGGGGGCAGAUCUGAUCUCUCCUGGAGUCCCUUGGACAUCUUGGAAACAGCCUCUUUGAAUAUCAUCAAGCAAGAGUGAGCAGGAGUUUCCAGCAAUACCCUCUGGUGGACAGAGAGGAAAAUUGGAGGAAAUCAGUCUAUCUUUUGGACUUCUGAGGACUCAGCUGGAUUCCUGUACCUGACUCAUCAAAGGACUCUCUGAGUAUUUCACAAAACCCAAAGUGGGGGAAUAGAAUAAUUUAACCUGAAAAGUAAAAGAGCUCAAGAUGUGACCCAAAGUGACAUACUCUGAAAAUAUGAACAUAAUCAUCAAUGAAAGAAGAUGGACAUUCAAUAAAAGAGAGAUUUGGGCAUAAUCCUUUUUUUAAGAGGAGAUUGAGUUCAGUGGAGGACUGGAAUCCAGCUUGGAGAAGGUCUCUUGCCCUGCCUGCCAGAAGAUUCUGCAUUGACACAGACCUGGGUGAGACACAAGGCUGAUUUCCAAAAGGGUCAUCAUCUCUCUCUGGGGUUCAUUGCUGCUACUUGAAAUUAUUCCAGGGGAAAGUCAUCUCAUCAGCCAAUAAUGACAAUACAACCACCACUACCAAUGGCAACAAUAACAAGAAAUCAUGUUAAAUAAAGCCUAUAUUGGGAAUAUGCUCUGCUUUCCC
rnacentral:lncRNA from 1 species